AAUCUUUAUGUGCUCCCUGCCUGAAUCUACCAGCCAGCGAAUGACAACUGACUGAGUAGAAAUACUAGGACUACAGAACCGUGAUAAAAGGAGUCUCCUGCCCCUGGCCAGGGAGAGCCACAGGCUGGAUGACAUCUGGUUUAUAGUGAGGGGCAGCAGCAACUCCAAGAGGGGGAAGAUGUGACCAUGAGCCCCGCCCCAGACCCAGGAGGCUUGACCUUGGGGCUGCCGUAGCAGUGGAUGCUCUUCAGCUGAAUGACCUAUCCUGGGCCCGUGACCCUGGACUUCAGCCAGAUCAGCAUCUCAAGCUCCCACCCAGGUGGCCUGUCCUCACGGGCCUUGGAGUGGAGACUUGAGCCACCACCUGUCAGAGGUGGAGACUUCACAGGCACAGCUGGAGCCAAGAACCCUGGUGCCCAAUUGUCUGUGACUGCAACUGGAUCAAGGGUUUGACUGUGGCUAUGGCUUAGCCAGGCGGGAUGUUUCCUCCACCACCUGCAGCUUCACAACCAACGGUGAUCCUGGGAACCAAUGGCCCUUCCAAGAGCUGGGUUUAGAGCCUUCCCUUGAAUGAAGAACCCUCCCCAGCUGGAAGGUGAUGCUAUUGAAGGCUCAGCUGACAACAUACAUGGGCAUCAAGUCAUUGGCCACAUUCAUGCCUCAAGUGUCCUAAAACCGAAGAUGAUCAAAAGAAAACUGCUGUUCAGCAAGUGGAGACUGGCAUGCAGAUUCCCUGGCCUGCAAGCUUAGAGCAGGAAGAUACUAAAUGCUGCUGGAACAAUGAAAAGAAAGAACGGAUGUCACAAAAAGCAUUUUCAUUUGAUGAAUAGAACUAAAAGAGCAAAGCAAUUGAAAGCUCAACACAACACAGGAGGGAUCCAUGGCUGAGGAUUGUAUUUCAGAACCACUGACUGCUCUUGACAAUUGUUAACCCACUAGGCUCCUUUGGUUAGAGAAGCCACAGUCCUUCAGCCUCCACUUGAUACCAAUACUUAGGAAGACCAAAGCCAGAUGGACAAACAGCAUUGAGAGGCUUUAGCCCUACUCCUCUCAGCUUCCAUCCUGUAGAGAACAGGAGUCAGGAGCUGCUGGCAGGAGACAGCAUGUCACUUGGGACUCUGCCAGUGCAGAAUACGAACAAUGCCAUGUUCUUGCUAAAAAUGCUUAGCUUGAGUUUCAUAGGAGGUAAUCACCAGAUAGACAACUGCAGAAUGUAGAAUACUGAGCAGGACAAUAACCUGUCUCCUUCAGACAGUCCAUGUCACCACGAAUCACACAA
rnacentral:lncRNA from 1 species